UACAGAGGGGGCGAGCGUUGUUCGGAAUUACUGGGCGUAAAGGGCGCGUAGGCGGCCAACUAAGUCAGACGUGAAAUCCCUCGGCUCAACCGGGGAACUGCGUCUGAUACUGGAUGGCUUGAAUUCGGGAGAGGGAUGCGGAAUUCCAGGUGUAGCGGUGAAAUGCGCAGAUAUCAGGAAGAACACCUAUGGCGAAGGCAGCUCUCUGGGACGGUACUGACGCUGAGACGCGAAAGCGUGGGGAGCGAACAGG
rnacentral:rRNA from 1 species